GUUAUUUGUGAUGCGGUUCUCUGCUUUGCUGCUCUUUGUUCUAGAAAUUUUUCGAGCUUCGAAUCACUAUGAACUUGCCCCAAAUUCACUUGGUUCGAUUUUUUCAAUCAUCGAGUGUUCGUGGAAUUCACUGGCUUAGAAAGAAGAAUUUCAACUCACACCUUAUACAACAAAUCCUUACGAGGCAUUGGGUCCAUUAGGACAACAGUCUUGCAAGUUGUAGAGGGUGGAAAUAUUGUUUUCCAAGGAGACAUUGAAGAAACAUAGAGAUAGAGAUAGGCAGCCACGACAAGCUGCAACUCUUCUUUAAUCUCUAAAGAAGGUUUUCAAUUCUUGAUUUGUAAUUUCUGUACUUUAUCAUAGUAAAUGUACACUUACGUAGUAGUUAUUGUUAGUUCAGACACAUGGAGAGAUAAGAAGAAAAAGAUGGUAAAGGAAAAAAAAAACAUCGGUAAAACAGAGCUGUAACAUAUAUGAUGUUAUAUGUGUAUCUAUGUCUGUCUUAGUGACAUAGCUGUGCUCACACAACAUUCAAUGGUAGAAUGAUGUCUUUAUCUAUUUCUUUCUCUAUUGUGUUAGGCAUAUUGUACGAUUCAAAUUUGAAGGUGAGCCAACAUAUAUUUUUAUUAGUGUAAUUCCAAGGAAAAAUAGAGCUACAAGUACAUUACCAAUUGUCGUUCAUCUACAGGCUCUUGUGUUGCUCUGUGUGAUUAGCGUAACUUAUCUCUAAUUCUUACUCACGAUUCUAUUGCUCUUUAUGCUUUUGUGACCAUCAGGCUGAUGUCUUCUUUGCAAUUUUUAAUGAAACCUCAAAAUUAUAGUGGCUUUUGGCCUAUAUUAUUAUUUGUUGGAUUUUCCAGCAGCCAUACAUACGAGCGGUAACACACAAUGACUUUGGAAAUGGGUAUGCUUGUGUGGGCAAAGGUGAUGGCAGAAGGUAUGCUUAAUGGAUGGAGGUGAUGGCAGAAGGCAUUUCAUUCCAAGUUACAACCUUUCUACAGUCAGUUAUUAUGAUGGUGGAAUAAAAUGCCUUUUAUAUAUAUGCUCGAGAAACUACGACAGCCUAUGGUGUUAAGAGAACUUCAAACGAUAAUACUUGGGUUGUUGAUCCUAUGUUGGGUAUGUAUUCAACAUGAAUACCUCGGAGUAUGAAAAGGCACAGGAGUAACUGAAAGUCUGAGACGUAAUGUGUAGUUAUGGAGAUUGAGUUGAACAUGACUGAAGGAUUGAAUAUCAGAAUCAUUCAAUAGAUCAACAGGCCAAUUGCGAAAAGCUAGCAAUAAAGUCUCUUAUUAUCAUUAAUUGUAAUAUAUGUAAGACUUGAGAGUUAGCAUAUAUGGAUUUGUUUCUUAAA